GGCGGGAAUUUGACGCGAAAACAUUGCCGCUCUGUCGGGCAUUUGACCCCGGAAUUGACUCGGACAUCAGUGUGAAAACGGACUUGUCGAUGCUGUUUAUUAAUUUUAUUGUUUUCAUAUUUAUUUUGUUGUCUUUGAUUGAAUGACGAAAUACCUCGCAUUUUUCUUCAGAUACUAUCCAAACUGUGUUAGUAUUCUAUAAAAUUUGCUGUGGAGUAGUUUUACUAACCAAGACUCAAG
rnacentral:lncRNA from 1 species